AUUGUGUGAAUACAUAGCACAUUCGAGGUAGACGCAGAGAACUGAAACAUCUAAGUACCUGCAGGAAGAGAAAGAAAAUUCGAUUCCCUGAGUAGCGGCGAGCGAAACGGGAAAAGCCCAAACCAGCAAGCUUGCUUGUUGGGGUUGUAGGACUCCAAUAUGGUAGUUCUUUCAGAUAGUCGAAUGACUUGGAAAAGUCAGUCAAAGAGGGUAAAAACCCCGUAGACGAAAUGUGGAAGACACCUAGGAGGAUCCUGAGUACGGCGGAACACGAGAAAUUCCGUCGGAAUCCGGGAGGACCAUCUCCCAAGGCUAAAUACUCCCUAGUGACCGAUAGUGAACCAGUACCGUGAGGGAAAGGUGAAAAGCACCCCGGAAGGGGAGUGAAAUAGAACCUGAAACCGUGUGCCUACAACAAGUCAAAGCCCGUUAAUGGGUGAUGGCGUGCCUUUUGUAGAAUGAACCGGCGAGUUACGAUUGCAUGCGAGGUUAAGUUGAAGAGACGGAGCCGCAGCGAAAGCGAGUCUGAAUAGGGCGUUUGAGUAUGUAGUCGUAGACCCGAAACCAUGUGAUCUACCCAUGUCCAGGUUGAAGGUGCGGUAAAACGCACUGGAGGACCGAACCCACGUACGUUGAAAAGUGCGGGGAUGAGGUGUGGGUAGCGGAGAAAUUCCAAACGAACUUGGAGAUAGCUGGUUCUCUCCGAAAUAGCUUUAGGGCUAGCCUCGGAAUUGAGAAUGAUGGAGGUAGAGCACUGUUUGGACUAGGGGCCCAUCUCGGGUUACCGAAUUCAGAUAAACUCCGAAUGCCAUUCAUUCAUAUCCGGGAGUCAGACUGUGAGUGAUAAGAUCCAUAGUCGAAAGGGAAACAGCCCAGACCACCAGCUAAGGUCCCAAAAUAUAUGUUAAGUGGAAAAGGAUGUGGGGUUGCACAGACAACUAGGAUGUUGGCUUAGAAGCAGCCACCAUUUAAAGAGUGCGUAAUAGCUCAC
rnacentral:rRNA from 1 species